GCAUGUAACUGACAGGGGAAGCUUCAUAUCUGGGAAAAGUGUGCACAAUCAAAGAAUCGAACGUCUAUGGCGAGACAUCAGGAUGUGUGUAACUUCACACUAUUACAACACCCUUCACAGCUUGGAAGCAGAACACCUUCUUGAUGUGUCCUCUCAAGGAGAUCUUUUUUCUGUCCACCAAACAUUUCUUCCACAACUCAACCUAGACCUGCGGGCAUUCGUAGAAGGUUGGAACAACCACCCUCUCCAGACCGAAGGGAAUAGAACUCCAGAGCAGAUGUGGUUCUUAGGAAUGAUGUC